rnacentral:rRNA from 1 species
ACCGCCUGGGGAGUACGGCCGCAAGGUUAAAACUCAAAUGAAUUGACGGGGGCCCGCACAAGCGGUGGAGCAUGUGGUUUAAUUCGAUGCAACGCGAAGAACCUUACCUACCCUUGACAUCCUGCGAACCCGGAAGAGAUUCCGGGGUGCCUUCGGGAGCGCAGAGACAGGUGCUGCAUGGCUGUCGUCAGCUCGUGUUGUGAAAUGUUGGGUUAAGUCCCGUAACGAGCGCAACCCUUGCCCCUAUUUGCCAGCGGGUAAUGCCGGGAACUCUAGGGAGACUGCCGGUGACAAACCGGAGGAAGGUGGGGACGACGUCAAGUCAUCAUGGCCCUUACGGGUAGGGCUACACACGUGCUACAAUGGCCGGUACAAAGGGUGGCGAGCUCGCGAGAGUCAGCGAAUCCCAGAAAGCCGGUCUCAGUCCGGAUCGGAGUCUGCAACUCGACUCCGUGAAGUCGGAAUCGCUAGUAAUCGUGCAUCAGAAUGGCACGGUGAAUACGUUCCCGGGCCUUGUACACACCGCCCGUCACACCAUGGGAGUGGACUGCACCAGAAGUGGUUAGCCUAACGCAAGAGGGCGAUCACCACGGUGUGGUUCAUGACUGGGGUGAAGUCGUAACAAGGUA